rnacentral:tRNA from 1 species
CGGGAUGUGGCGCAGCCUGGUAGCGCGCUUGACUGGGGGUCAAGAGGUCGCAGGUUCGAAUCCUGUCAUCCCGA